CCAGCUGUUUAGGAUUGACUUAUGUCCCCCCCACCAAUUCAUAUGUUGAAGUUCUAACUCCCAGUACCUCAGAAUGUGACUGCAUUUGGACAUAGGUCCAAAAGAGGUAAUUAAGUUAAAUGAGGUCAUUAGGGUGGGCCCUAAUCCAAUAUAACUGGUGUCCUUAUAAGAACAGGAUAUGAGGACACAGACACACCCAGAGAGAAGACAGUCAUUUAGAAGCCAAGGAGAGAGGCCUCAGGAGAAACCAGACCUGUCAACACCUUGAUCUUGGACUUACGGCCUCAAAACUGUAGGGUUACUUUCUCAUCCCUCCUCAGCACUGGCUUGAUUUUCUCCAUAGUUACUACGUCUGUGUUGAAACUUUGAGACUCCAGGCAUCCAUGCCAUCCUCACUUUACUCCUGUUUACCUCUUUACCUGUUAAAGUAUAAUAUCCUGAAAGGGGACAGGAAGCCACCAAUCUGCUAUUCUCUGGAAAUUACUAUCUGAACUGACAGCAUAGACAUUUCCUCAAUCUGUCCAGUACUUCACGCCAAGCCUCUGAGGUAUUCGAUUUUCUUAGCCAUUCACUUCUUGAAACUCUGAUGGCUCUCAGUGUGGUUCCCCGGUCAGCAACAGCAGCAUCACUUGAGAACUUGUUAGAACUGCAUAUUUUCAGGCCCGGACCCAGACCUGCUGGAUCAGAAACUCUGCAGGGGGUGGGGACGUACCCAGCAAGAUGAGGUUGAACGAGCCAUUGAGGUGAUUCUGACGCCCCCUGAUGUCUGAGAACCAGAGCUUGAAUCUACUGGCAUCUGCUCAAUGCCUUGUCUUAAGGCACUUACCUGCCUUUCUAGCUGCUUCUUUACUGUGUCCCAUCCUGGCUCAUUCUUCCUUUAUCCCCCUGCUAGUGUGUGUGUGUGCGUGUGCGUGUGCGUGUGUAUGCAUUCGUGCACGUGUUCAGCAGACAUCCAGGAAAGGGUCUCCUGAGGUCAAUUUGGCAGAUGGAUCUAGACAAGUCUGAAGCUCCGUUGGGAUGUAGUUAAGCCCCUUCAGGUGUUUUU